rnacentral:lncRNA from 1 species
CGGACUAUUUGAAAUCUACCUUUGACUAACUUUGAAAAGAGAAGUUGGUUUUUGAAAAGAAAAAUAAUUUAGGAAAAGAUUUGUGUAAAAUAAAUUGACGACUUAUUAGAAAAUUUAACUAAGUCUAAGCAAAUUAAUAACAACUAACACAUAAAAGGGGAAGGGGAAACUAGAAGACUUAGGCCAAUAGGCCCAAAUCAAUAAACCUAUACUAAGGCUAAUUUAGGCUUUCGGCCCAUCUUCACCUAUCCUAACCUAAAUAUUGGGCUUUGGCCCAUAACCUGUCCUGAACUACAGUUUCGAGCCCUUUUGGCCCAAAGUCUGUUUCACCUGUAUUAGUUUACAACUUUGGCUUCGAGACCUAAAUGAAUGAAUGAAUAAAUAAAUGCAUGAAUAAAUAACUAAAAAACAAAUAAAGCAAUAAUAAAUAAAGAAAAAAAUGAGACUUUUCGAGUCUCUUAGCUACUUCAACAAUGGGCUUGAACCUAUCUUGCCUUCUUCCAUCUUCACUCAUACGCUAGGUAGCGCCCCCUUUCAGACCAUUUUUCGGAAUCUUCGAAGGGAUGGGCCUUAAUGGCCCGUUACAAAAUGCAAGGAGGGAAAAGUCCAUUUGGACUCCCCGAUGAGUUCAUAUGCAAAGAACGAAAAAAAGAAGAUCAAUGCACAUACGAAACAUAUAUAA